GGCAUCUAAUAAUUACAAACAGAAUGCUUUAAUGGGAAAGAUUACAUUUAGCCAUUAGUGCACAUUGAGUAUUCUGGAGAAAAAAUAUAAAAAAUAAAGAAAUAAUUAUACACAUGUUGUCUCACACACACACACACACACACACACACACACACACACACACUGACACACACACAUACACACACACACAAUGUAUAAUUUAUUGGGUAAUAACUAUCACUGUUGUCAUGUAAGGGAAUUGAUUAGGAAUUUAUUUUGAUGUGGAAAUGGUUGAUGAAGAAACAUUAUACAAAUUUGUCCAUUUGCGUAUUGAGAUCACUUCGAGGUCAAAGGUCACAGUUCCGGCUAUUCGGUCUCUUUUCUUCGGAUUGAGUUCAGGUGACCACGCACAUUCACGGGGUUCAAGACAACCAUGCGCAGUUUAACUACAUUGAUAAAGCAUCCGACGAAGACCAGCCGAUGAAACUACCUACGGCGAACCAAAGAAGUCUAUUUGCUCCUGAUGCGCUUUCGGAUGUUACGGAGGCGCUCCUCCAGGAAGCCGGUAGCAGGAUGGCCUCUUCUUCCCUUGGCAAACCAGGUGUCCUACAAUGAAUUGAGCAUGUUUAACAGGAUCUACAUCCCUGGUUCCAAGGACUACAUUCUUCCAAUACUUACAGUACCACUGCUGGAUGAGUCUUUGAGGCAUGGGAAUGCGAGCACCAGAGAAGAU